rnacentral:sRNA from 1 species
AGUCCCUUCUGCCCUGUGCCUUGGUGCCUGUGACCUGAGCCCCCUGGUUGACUCCUGCACUCAGUCCAACUUGGGCCAAACGACCGCCCCUCCUUCUGGCAGUGGGCUGGACCAGCCGGCCAGCGGGAGCCCCCUUGGCAGAAGCCGGUCGUAAAGGAUCAUAAACUGGGCGGCGUCUGGCUGGGGCGAAGGUCGCUGAGACUGCUCUGUGAACAAGGACAUCUUUGAAGUAGAGGAGAACACAAAUGUCACCGAGCCGCUGGUGGACAUCCACGUCCCGGAGGGCCAGGAGGUGACCCUCGGACCCUUGUCCACCCCCUUUGCAUUUCGGAUCCAGGGAAACCAGCUGUUUCUCAACGUGACUCCUGAUUACGAGGAGAACUCACUGCUUGAGGCUCAGCUGCUGUGUCAGAGCGGAGGCACAUUG